CAAUAGCGUAUAUUUAAGUUGCUGCAGUUAAAAAGCUCGUAGUUGGAUUUCGGGUGGGAAUGGCCGGUCCGCCGUUUCGGUGUGCACUUGCUACGCCCACCUUGCUGCCGGGGACGUGCUCUUGAGUUCACGCUCGGGACACGGAGUCGGCGAGGUUACUUUGAGUAAAUUAGAGUGUUCAAAGCAGGCCUACGCUCUGAAUACAUUAGCAAGGAAUAACACGAUAGGACUCUGGCCUAUCUUGUUGGUCUGUAGGACCGGAGUAAUGAUUAAGAGGGACAGUCGGGGGCAUUCGUAUUUCAUUGUCAGAGGUGAAAUUCUUGGAUUUAUGAAAGACGAACUACUGCGAAAGCAUUUGCCAAGGAUGUUUUCAUUAA
rnacentral:rRNA from 1 species